rnacentral:rRNA from 1 species
CCUACGGGUGGCAGCAGUGGGGGAUAUUGCACAAUGGGGGGAACCCUGAUGCAGCGACGCCGCGUGGGUGAAGGAGUGCUUGGGCAUGUAAAGCCCUAUCGGCAGGGAAGAAGCAAGACGGUACCUGACUGAGAAGCCCCGGCUAACUACGUGCAAGCAGCCGCGGUAAUACGUAGGGGGCGAGCGUUAUCCGGAUCCACGGGGUGUAAAGGGAGCGUAGACGGCCAAGCAAGCCAGGGGUGAAAGCCCGGGGCCCCACCCCGCGACUGCCCUUUGAAAUGCAUGGCUGGAGUGCGGGUGGGGCAGGCGGAAUUCCUGGUGUAGCGGUGAAAUGCGUAGAUAUCAGGAGGAACACCGGCGGCGAAGGUGGCCUGCUGGACCGCGACUGACGUUGAGGCUCGAAAGCGUGGGGAGCGAACAGGAUUAGAUACCCUUGUAGUC